AACGCGAAGAACCUUACCAAGGUUUGACAUGGACGGAAAUCCUCCAGAGAUGGGGGGUCCUUCGGGGCCGUUCACAGGUGGUGCAUGGCUGUCGUCAGCUCGUGUCGUGAGAUGUUGGGUUAAGUCCCGCAACGAGCGCAACCCUCGUCCAAUGUUGCCAGCGGGUCAUGCCGGGGACUCAUUGGAGACUGCCGGGGUCAACUCGGAGGAAGGUGGGGAUGACGUCAAGUCAUCAUGCCCCUUAUGUCUUGGGCUGCAAACAUGCUACAAUGGCCGGUACAAAGCGCUGCGACACCGUGAGGUGAAGCGAAUCGCAUAAAGCCGGUCUCAGUUCGGAUCGGGGUCUGCAACUCGGCCCCGUGAAGCCGGAGUCGCUAGUAAUCGCAGAUCAGCAACGCUGCGGUGAAUACGUUCCCGGGCCUUGUA
rnacentral:rRNA from 1 species